rnacentral:rRNA from 2 species
UUUGAAAUCUGGCUCCUUUGGGGUCCGAGUUGUAAUUUGCAGAGGGAGCUUUUGGCGUCGGUCGUGGUCUAAGUUCCUUGGAACAGGACGUCACAGAGGGUGAGAAUCCCGUACGUGGCCGCCGGCCUUCGCCUUGUAAAGCCCCUUCGACGAGUCGAGUUGUUUGGGAAUGCAGCUCUAAAUGGGAGGUAAAUUUCUUCUAAAGCUAAAUACCCGCCAGAGACCGAUAGCGCACAAGUAGAGUGAUCGAAAGAUGAAAAGCACUUUGGAAAGAGAGUGAAAAAGCACGUGAAAUUGUUGAAAGGGAAGCGCUUGCGGCCAGACGUGCCCGCGGUUGAUCAUCCAGGCUCCAGCCUGGUGCACUCCUCCGCGGGCAGGCCAGCAUCAGUUCGGGCGGUCGGAUAAAGGCCUCUAUCACGUACCACCCCUCGGGGUGGCCUUAUAGGGGAGGCGCAACACGGCCAGCCCGGACUGAGGUUCCGCGCAUCUGCUAGGAUGCUGGCGUAAUGGCAGCAAGCGGCCCGUCUUGAAACACGGACCAAGGAGUCUAACAUCUAUGCGAGUGUUUGGGUGUCAAGCCCGAGCGCGCAAUGAAAGUGAACGGAGGUGGGAACCCUUACCGGUGCACCAUCGACCGAUCCUGAUGUCUUCGGAUGGAUUUGAGUAAGAGCAUAGCUGUUGGGACCCGAAAGAUGGUGAACUAUGCCUGAAUAGGGUGAAGCCAGAGGAAACUCUGGUGGAGGCUCGCAGCGGUUCUGACGUGCAAAUCGAUCGUCAAAUUUGGGCAUAGGGGCGAAAGACUAAUCGAACCAUCUAGUAGCUGGUUCCUGCC